ACGCACGCUGGCGGCGUGCCUCAUCCAUGCAAGUCGAGCGGACGGAUGGGAGCUUGCUCCCAGACCGUCAGCGGCGGACGGGUGAGUAACACGUGGGCAACCUGCCUGUAAGACUGGGAUAACUCCGGGAAACCGGGGCUAAUACCGGAUAACUCUUUCCCUCACAUGAGGGAAAGCUGAAAGAUGGCAUCUCGCUAUCACUUACAGAUGGGCCCGCGGCGCAUUAGCUAGUUGGUGAGGUAACGGCUCACCAAGGCGACGAUGCGUAGCCGACCUGAGAGGGUGAUCGGCCACACUGGGACUGAGACACGGCCCAGACUCCUACGGGAGGCAGCAGUAGGGAAUCUUCCGCAAUGGACGAAAGUCUGACGGAGCAACGCCGCGUGAGUGAUGAAGGUUUUCGGAUCGUAAAACUCUGUUGUCAGGGAAGAACAAGUACCGGAGUAACUGCCGGUACCUUGACGGUACCUGACCAGAAAGCCACGGCUAACUACGUG
rnacentral:rRNA from 1 species